GGAGGGUGAGCAGGUUGGACUGGACCCUGUCCAGGACCCCGGAGCCACCCGAGGGAUGAAUCAGGCGCCAACCGUGGGCUUUGAGCAGGAUGUUGGCAGCCGAACCACCCACCAUUUCAUGUACCCUGAGAGUGCCAAGAACCUGCCCGCCAACGUCAGCUUCGUGCUGGUGCCCUUCAAGGCCCUGGACCUUCUGUGGAUCGCCAGUGCCUUGUCCACGGGGCAGAUCCGAUUCACCUAUGCCCCAGUGAAGUCCUUCCUUCGAGUGGAUAAAGAAAAGGUCCAGAUCUACAACCCAGCCUUCUUCAAGUAUAUCCACGACAGGUGGACAGAGCAUCACGGGCGGUACCCUUCCACGGGGAUGCUGGUGCUUUUCUUUGCCCUGCAUGUGUGUGAUGAGGUGAACGUGUACGGGUUCGGGGCCGACAGCCGGGGCAACUGGCACCACUACUGGGAGAACAACCGGUACGCGGGCGAGUUCCGGAAGACUGGCGUGCACGACGCGGACUUCGAGGCCCACAUCAUCGACAUGCUGGCCAAGGCCAGCAAGAUCGAAGUCUACCGGGGCAACUGAGCCAGGCCUCGCCGCGACCCUCCCGGCCCAUCUAUCAGGCACCGGGGCUCCGGCCAGGGACCCGGGACCAGCAACCCGGGACCAAUCAUGCUGUAGCCCAGGGGUGUCUGCUGUG
rnacentral:sRNA from 1 species